UAAUACAGAGGUCCCGAGCGUUGUUCGGAUUCACUGGGCGUAAAGGGUGCGUAGGUGGUGAGGUAAGUCGGAUGUGAAAGCCCCGAGCUCAACUCGGAAAUGGCAUUGGAAACUACCUUGCUCGAGGGUUGGAGGGGGGACUGGAAUACUUGGUGUAGCAGUGAAAUGCGUAGAUAUCAAGUGGAACACCAGUGGCGAAGGCGAGUCCCUGGACAACUCCUGACACUGAGGCGCGAAAGCCAGGGGAGCAAACGG
rnacentral:rRNA from 1 species